GACGAAGGAUGCAAGCGUUAUCCGGAUUCAUUGGGUUUAAAGGGAGCGUAGGUGGCCUUAUAAGUCAGUGGUGAAAUCUCGCAGCUUAACUGCGAAAUUGCCAUUGAUACUGUAGGGCUUGAGUACAGUUGCUGUGGGCGGAAUAUGACAUGUAGUGGUGAAAUACAUAGAGAUGUCAUAGAACACCGAUUGCGAAGGCAGCUCACAAAACUGUAACUGACACUGAAGCUCGAAAGUGCGGGGAUCAAACAGG
rnacentral:rRNA from 1 species